rnacentral:rRNA from 1 species
UACGGGGGGGGGCACGCGUUGUUCGGAAUUACUGGGCGUAAAGGGCGCGUAGGCGGUUCGCUAAGUUGAAUGUGAAAACUCUGGGCUUAACCCAGAGCCUGCAUUCAAUACUGGCGGGCUAGAGUUCUGGAGGGGAUAGCGGAAUUCCUGGUGUAGCGGUGAAAUGCGUAGAUAUCAGGAGGAACACCGGUGGCGAAGGCGGGUCUCUGGGCCGUUACUGACGCUGAGGAGCGAAAGCGUGGGGAGCGAACAGG